UGAGGAAUUUUCCGCAAUGGGCGAAAGCCUGACGGAGCGACGCCGUGUGUGGGAUGAAGUUUUUCGGAAUGUAAACCACUGUCAGAGGGGACGAUAUUGACGGUACCCUCAGAGGAAGGCCCGGCUAACUACGUGCCAGCAGCCGCGGUAAUACGUAGGGGCCAAGCGUUGUCCGGAAUUACUGGGCGUAAAGGGCGUGUAGGCGGUCUGGUAAGUCAGAUGUUAAAUCCACGGGCUCAACCCGUGUUCGCAUUUGAUACUGCCAAACUAGAGAGUGCUAGAGGAAAGCGGAAUUUCCGGUGUAGCGGUGAAAUGCGUAGAUAUCGGAAAGAACACCAGUGGCGAAGGCGGCUUUCUGGGGCACUUCUGACGCUGAGACGCGAAAGCCAGGGGAGCAAACGGG
rnacentral:rRNA from 1 species